CUUCCAGUAGCACCUUAGAGACCAACUAAGUUUGUUAUUGGUAUGAACUUUUGUGUGCAUGCACACAUCUUCAGAAACGAAAGCUCAUACCAGUAAUAAACUUAGUUGGUCUCUAGGGUGCUACUGGAAG
rnacentral:miRNA from 1 species